UACGAAGGGGCGAGCGUUGUUCGGAUUUACUGGGCGUAAAGGGCGCGCAGGCGGCUCAUUUUGUCAGGCGUGAAAGCCCCGGGCUUAACCUGGGAACUGCGUUUGAUACGGAUGGGCUAGAGUUCGGGAGAGGAGAGUGGAAUUCCCAGUGUAGAGGUGAAAUCGUAGAUAUUGGGAAGAACACCGGUGGCGAAGGCGGCUCUCUGGACCGAUACUGACGCUGAGGCGCGAAAGCGUGGGGAGCAAACAGG
rnacentral:rRNA from 1 species